rnacentral:rRNA from 1 species
UGCCAGCAGCCGCGGUAAUACAGAGGGUGCAAACGUUGUUCGGAAUCACUGGGCAUAAAGCGCACGUAGGCGGUUCUGUAAGUGUGAAGUGAAAGCCCACGGCUCAACCGUGGAAUUGCUUCGCAUACUGCAGGACUCGAGGACGGUAGGGGAGAGCGGAACUCCUGGUGGAGCGGUGAAAUGCGUAGAUAUCAGGAGGAACACCGGUGGCGAAGGCGGCUCUCUGGGUCGAUAUUGACGCUGAGGCGCGAAGGCGUGGGGAGCGAACGGGAUUAGAUA